UAAUACUCCAUAGAUUAGAGACACUGGAAUGUUCUUUAGUCGAAAGUUCUGGCGCCUUAGGAUGGAUCUGCGGUCGAUUAGGUUGUUGUUGGGGUAACGGCCCAACAAGCCUGUAAUCGAUACGGGUUGUGGGAGCAAGAGCCCGGAGAUGGAAUCUGAGACACGAUUCCAGGCCCUACGGGGCGCAGCAGGCGCGAAAACUUUACAAUGCAGGAAACUGUGAUAAGGGAACUCCGAGUGCCCGUAUACGCGGGCUGUCCAGGUGUUUAAAAAUCAUCUGAAGAAAGGGCCGGGCAAGACCGGUGCCAGCCGCCGCGGUAAUACCGGCGGCUCGAGUGGUGGCCACUAUUAUUGGGCUUAAAGCGUCCGUAGCUGGACCGAUAAGUCUCUUGGGAAAUCCGCCGGCUCAACCGGCGGGCGUCUAAGGGAUACUGUUAGUCUAGGGACCGGGAGAGGUGAGAGGUACUCCGGGGGUAGGAGUGAAAUCCUGUAAUCCCCGGGGGACCACCGAUGGCGAAGGCAUCUCACCAGAACGGCUCCGACAGUGAGGGACGAAAGCUGGGGGAGCGAACCGGAUUAGAUACCCGGGUAGUCCCAGCCGUAAACUAUGCGCGUUAGGCGU
rnacentral:rRNA from 1 species